GCCCGGGUGGUGGAAUCGGUAGACACAAGGGAUUUAAAAUCCCUCGGCGUUCGCGCUGUGUGGGUUCAAGUCCCACUCCGGGUACCA
rnacentral:tRNA from 3 species